CGGGUUCCUGCUGCCUCCCAGGUGUGCUUUGUAAGACAGCGCACGCCCACACCUUAAUCAGGGGAUGUUCACCAAGCAUGCCUCUACACUGAGCAUGCACCAGGCACCGUGGAGGAGUGUGCUGGUCCCCAUGCCCAGAAGCUCACAGUCAUUCUGGGGGGACAGUGGUAACACCUGAAACAAAAGCAACUGAUACAGGGCAGUGGGGGAAGUUGUGCCGUUCAUCCAGUGGAGACCUACACCCAGGAAUCAUGCAGCAGGCAUGCGGAGGGACACGGAGGCGGAGCCCCGCCUAGCUGAGGAGAGAAGGGGCAAAGCAGAAAGUGCUGGUGUCAGGAGACAGCAGAUGACACGCUGCAGGCAUUGGAGGGCAGGGAGUAGCCAUCGCUGCUACCUGGCAUGGCUUAGUGGAGCCAUGACUGAGCUGAGCUGGGUAUUGAAGGACAAGGAGGCACCGGCUUUCCAGGCAGUUGGGGACGGAGAGAGCAAAGGCCUGAAGGCUAGAUGCCUGGCCUGCAUGAAAGGAGCUUCAUAAAGCAACACGAGGGAUGUUUCUCCGCUUUGCAGACAGCCAACAUGUGCCGCGGGAGCCCUGAGAUGAUUCCGAUGCACGGAGGGAGCCGGGAAACGCUGGUAUUUCUGCCUGUCACUUAUUAUCUGGUUGAGCUGGUGGCGGGAGUCCCGGCCCAUGUGUGUUACCAGAGGGAUGGUCUAGAGAAUGAAUCCAUCUGUCAGAGGCAUCCAAGAAGAAAGGCCUGGGCCAGGAUCACAUGGAAGACCCUGAAGACAGGAUCGGGUCUUGCCUGCCUGGAUUGAACAGAGACGCAGUGACCAGUCCCAUCUGCUCCCACCCUGCUGCCCUCUGAAUCGAGAGUUUGAGGCCAUGACCAGGGUAACGUUCAGCUGGUAGAGACAACACAACCCUGCUGGCUGUUUAAGCCAUGCUGGAGUGGUGCUCACAGGGUAACAAUUUUCAAGUGCUACGGAUGCAAUAGCUCAGCGACUGGCAGCGCAGCACGUACCUGCUGUCGUGGGAGGUGAGAGCCACCAGUGCCCGACAGCGGCUGCAAGGCAGUGGUGGCGCUCUGCAGCCAGCCGGCCCACCCCUCCAACAUCUGCAAGGGGGUGGGAGGCUGCCUCACCAAGCUACCUGCUACUCAUGGGGGCGAUGGGCAUCAGGGUGGCCUGCCUGGAGGCUCUGAACCCGUCUCCAGCGGCAGAUAUCUCCAGUAACUGGGCUGGCAUGUCCGUGCCCUGCGCUGCUCUCUUCUCUCAGCUUCCCUUUGCAACCAAGGCUGAUUCCCACAGUCAGUCUCUCCCCCAGAGAACAUGAAGGAAGAUGCCUGAGGGACAACAUUAACUUGUCAGGAACAGGGGCCUGGGAGGAGUGUGGAUGUGGGCUCAGGUACGGGCAUGCACCUUGAGUGUGUGCAUGUGGGGGUCAGUGUGCAAGCCUGCCGUGGUGUGUGUGGGUCCGUGGGGGUCCCCAUGUUCCCGGGUCUAUGUGGGUGGGGUGGUAUGCACUGUGUGUGUUUAGGGUGCUUGUGCAUGUGUGAGUGUGUACAUAUCUGCAUUCAUUCCUGUGUGUGUCUGCGUCUGUGUCUGUGUGUGUGUGUCUGUGUCUGUGGGUGUGUGUGUGUGUGUGUGUGGGUGUGUGUGUGUGUGUGUACCAUCAGCCCUCCAUAUCCACAGGUUCUGUAUCCUUGGAUUCAACCAACCAUGGAAUAAAAGUACUAACAAAAAGGA
rnacentral:lncRNA from 1 species